GUGAGACCUCCCCGACCAUAUGGAACUGCAUCUGGCAUUUCCCCUGCUGGCACUCAUUCUCUCUCCUGCUGCCCUGUGAAGAGGUAUCUUCCGCCUGUAAGUUUCCUGAGGCCUCCCCAGCCAUAUGGAACUCAGCAGGAAAUGAAGACACCCACCUAACACAAUAUCUAGAAGUAGGUGGCAGGAGGAACGUGCAGCUGCUUGAGCAAGUCGUCCAGGAUCCAGCUCUUCCAGAUUCCUGCGGCACCAUCCUCCACACGUGGCAUUCUUCCUCAUGAU